CCCUUAGAUGUUCUGGGCCGCACGCGUGCUACACUGAGUGGAUCAGCGGGUCAGGUUGCGCGAAAGCGUUUCCUAAUCUUUAAAUCCGCUCGUGAUGGGGAUUGACGGUUGCAAUUUUCUGUCAUGAACGAGGAAUACCUUGUAAGCGCGGGUCAUCAUCCCGCGCUGAAUACGUCCCUGCCCUUUGUACACACCGCCCGUCGCUACUACCGAUUGAAUGGUUUAGUGAGGCCUUCGGAUCCGCGACUCGUUUUGUGGAGAAGUUGGACAAACUCAGUCAUUUAGAGGAAGUAAAAGUCGUAACA
rnacentral:rRNA from 1 species